UACGUAGGUGGCAAGCGUUUGUCCGGAAUUAUUGGGCGUAAAGCGCGCGCAGGCGGCCUCUUAAGUCUGAUGUGAAAGCCCCCGGCUCAACCGGGGAGGGCCAUUGGAAACUGGGAGGCUUGAGUAUAGGAGAGAAGAGUGGAAUUCCACGUGUAGCGGUGAAAUGCGUAGAGAUGUGGAGGAACACCAGUGGCGAAGGCGACUCUUUGGCCUAUAACUGAC
rnacentral:rRNA from 1 species